rnacentral:lncRNA from 1 species
AUGAGAUAUUCUGAGCAGUAUCUUAAGAAAGCACAGUGCGAAUACUUUAUUGGAGUUUGUCUUGCACACAAAUCCAAAAUGUUUCACUGCCAGAGAGACAAAAAGCCAUGCCAUGCAGCCGUAUCUCAUAAUUCUGGAGUGUCAGGUUUGGUGAAAUAUUACUGCAUAUUAUUCCUACAGACUGCAGAUAAAAGGAGCAUACUGGGAACAAGUAAAAUGUCAGAUUCUUGCUUCAGGAGCUUACAGUGGUGGUCCCACCAUCAGGUACACGGGUACAAAUUCUUUGUGCAAGAGAUGAGUCUGAUUGUUUAGUCCUCACUUAAAUUCACAGCUAGAGGUUGGAACCUAAAGGACAACUCCAAAGGCUAAAAGAAAGUCCUCUACCUUUUCUUUUUAAUGAAUAACAGAGCUCACUGACUAUUAUAAGUGAUUUGGCACCUCAAUAUGCAAUAGGCCUAGACUGAGAUUUUUCAAAACCACUACACAUCUAAUUUGCAUUGAUUGAAAAUCCCAUGAGGCACCUAAAUACCUCUGACAACCUUACUGUGUCAAUUCAUAAAGCUCGCAUAACUUCCUCUUUCUCACAUUGUGCACACUCUUGAUUUUUACUGUGUGAAAACCUCCAAAUUCAUGUUCCCUUGAUUAAAAGGAUAACUGUAUUUGUAAGCAAUUUUCAGGUAUUAUGGGAAGCCUUUCUAAGCAGUGCUUUCUUCUUCUUGUAAUAUUCAUUGCAGUUCUCUGCAGCCAUCCUGCUGCAGAGUAUGCGCAUCAUAUUCAGAUUGAGACAGUGUAAUGCAACCAUAUGAAUUUCCUAACUGACCUUCAGUUCUCUUGUUCCAUUGCAAAAUGCAGCUUUCUGUUCUACUAAGUACACCUUACAAAGAAGGGACAAGUGAAAACUGAUUUUUUCACUCUUUUGCAAAAACAACAAAAAGGUUGUCUCUGUAUCUGAGAAAUUCUUUUGCUCAUCUCUACUGGAGACUGAAUUGUUUAUUGUAUUGACGGCACAUCAUUUGGGAUGGGUUUUAACAAAUAUGACCAUUUAUUUGUAUCAAGGAUUGGGGGGGGAGGGUUGUUUUGAUACAUUAAAUACCUUUGCAAUCGUUUUUUUUUUCUUUCUUUUCUUUUUUUUUUUUCUUUUUCUUUUUUUUUUUUUAAGCACUAAAUCUCAGCAUGACUGUAUCCUGCAGUGGAAAAUUACUACCCAUUCAGAAAUGUGCCUUGUUGCAUUACAGUCGUAUAUUUGAAGACUCAAACCUCUAUCUGCAGCACAAAGGCAUGCUCAACAAAUGACUUAGCAUCUUUGUUCCUUUAUCACUACACUUUAUGACAGCAUUUGCUACUUGUUAUAAUCAAGGUAUGCUUGUGAAAUUAAUCUUUUUGCUCUUUAGCUUAUAUAAUCAUUAUGCAUCUUCAUUAAAAUGGGAUAUUACAAUUGAUAGCUAUCUGAAUUUGUUUCUAGCUGUGUAUGAAUUAGUCUUUGAAUGAAUGAAUAAAUGAAUUAAUGUUUUUGCA